UUAUAGUCGAAUGCAUGCUCAUCAGACACCACAAAAGGUGUUAGUUCAUCUAGGCAGCUCGACGGUGGCCAUGGAAGUCUGUAUCCGCUAAGGAGUGUGCAACAACCCACGGGCCGAAUGAACUAGCCCUGAGAAAAUGGAUAGCGCUCAAGCGUGUUACUCAUA
rnacentral:ncRNA from 1 species